GAAGCGGUAGUUUACAUUAAAACGACAAGUUGCAAGCUUGCAGACGGCGCUGCCCCACUUUU
rnacentral:tRNA from 1 species